UGGGGGUGGAGAAGCUCCCAAGGGUCGGGCUGUUCGCCCGUUAAAGCGGUACGCGAGCUGGGUUCAGAACGUCGCAAGACAGU
rnacentral:rRNA from 1 species